GGGUGUAUAGCUCAGUGGUAAAGCACAUGUUUAGUAUGCACAAGGUCCUGAGUUCAAUCCCCAGUACCUCCA
rnacentral:tRNA from 1 species